CUGUGGUGGAUAGUGGAGUGUUUCCCAUGUGGUAUUGGUGUACUGGAUAUCCCUUCACUGUUAUCCUGGUAACAUACAGUACCAGGUCUUUCUCUGCCUCUGUGGUGGAUAGUGGAGCAUUUCCCAUGUGGUAUUGGUGUGCUGGAUAUCCCUUCACUGUUAUCCUGGUAACAUACAGUCCCAGGUCUUUCUCUGCCUCUGUGGUGGAUAGUGGAGUGUUUCCCAUGUGGUAUUGGUGUACUGGAUAUCCCUUCACUGUUAUCCUGGUAACAUACAGUACCAGGUCUUUCUCUGCCUCUGUGGUGGAUAGUGGAGUGUUUCCCAUGUGGUAUUGGUGUGCUGGAUAUCCCUUCACUGUUAUCCUGGUAACAUACAGUCCCAGGUCUUUCUCUGCCUCUGUGGUGGAUAGUGGAGCAUUUCCCAUGUGGUAUUGGUGUGCUGGAUAUCCCUUCACUGUUAUCCUGGUAACAUACAGUCCCAGGUCUUUCUCUGCCUCUGUGGUGGAUAGUGGAGCAUUUCCCAUGUGGUAUUGGUGUACUGGAUAUCCCUUCACUGUUAUCCUGGUAACAUACAGUACCAGGUCUUUCUCUGCCUCUGUGGUGGAUAGUGGAGCAUUUCCCAUGUGGUAUUGGUGUGCUGGAUUUCCCCUCCCAAGGUGCAGGACUUUACAUUUUUCUUCACUGCAUUGUAGCCGCCACUUUUUGCUCCCGUCCUGUAGCUUGGUGAGGUGUUCUGGCAGGAAAUCUGCAGCCAAGGGGUUAAGACUCUCACAUCCUCACUCACUCCAGCACUGUGUUUCACUCCUACUCUUGCUCUGCCAAAUACU